rnacentral:snRNA from 1 species
GUGCUUUGGCGGCACACAUCCUAAAUUGGAACAAUGCAGAGAAUAUUAGCACAGCCCCUGUUCAAGGGUGACAUGCAAUUCUGUAAAGUGUUCCAUAGUUUU